rnacentral:rRNA from 1 species
GACGAACGCUGGCGGCGUGCUUAAUACAUGCAAGUCGAACGGACAGGCCCCUUUGUUGCUACUCGAGUGGUGACCGCGUGAGUAACACGUGCGUAACCUGCCCCUGCCUUCGGGAUAACUUUAGCUACCUGGGGCCAAUACCGGAUAGGAAUCCUUGCUGCAAGGUGGGGGUUGGAAAGCUUCGGCGGUUUUUGAUGGCCUGGCGGCGUAUCUGCUUGGCGGUGGGGCAGUGGCUUACCGAGGCUUUGACGGGUAGCCGGCCUGUGGGGGCGACCUGCCACAUUGGGACUGAGGGACGGCCCAGACGCCGACGGGAGGCAGCAGGGGGGAAGAUUGCAGAAGGGGCGGAAGCCUGAUGCAGCAGCGCCGCGGGCGGGAUGACGGCCUUCUGGUGGUAAACCGCAUGCAGCAGGGGCGAAGCUUGUGGUGACGGUACCUGCAGAAGAAGCACCGGCUAACUACGUG